UUCUACCUUUUUAAUUAAAAAAAAAAAUUUACUUACGUGUAUUUUACUUGCAUGAUACUUGCAUGAGUGUUUGCCUACAUGUAUGUAUGUGCACUAUGAACAAGCCAUGCCUAAGGUGGUCGUAGAUGGUGUCCGAUGCCUCAGAACUGGAGUUGUGACCUUCUGUGUGCAUGCUGGGAACUGAACCUGGGUCCUCUGCAAGAGAAGAAGCAAGUUUGCUUAACCAUUGUGCCAUCUUCCCAGACCCUGACUAAGCAUCAUGUGGGUUGGGGGGUGGGGGUAGGGGGUUGUGAUGGUUUUCUCAAGACCAGUUCUAAUGCAGCAGGAUUUCAAGAGAGACCAUCUAGACUUGCAAAGAAAAUGUGCCUUUCUGCUCUAUUCCACGUCAAAGGCAGGCCUCAUUUUGUGCAACAGGAAAAGAACUUCCUAGUAGUCUCAAGCGAGCAGUACUUAGGAGAAAAGCUCUUGUGGGGUGUGGGGGGUAGGGUGGAGACCGAGAGAGACACACAGAGAGACACACAGAGAGACACACAGAGAGACACACAGAGACGAAAAGACAGAGAGAGACUCCAGGGUUGGCUGAAUCAAUAAUUCAAGACAUCAAGCACAUCUGUUUUUCAGUGUGCUGGUACAGUGAGCUAUUUUUAAGCAUGGGGGUGGGGUGGGGUGGUCACUGUAUUUAUGUGGGUGAUGCUCGAUAGAGAAGUGAGUCAGCAAUUUCACUCCGGUUCUUGGAUCUCACACCAGGCACUUUCUCUCCUCUCCCAGUCCUGCCCUCCGACCCUGUUUCAAUCAGCUCCGGGGACUGUCUACCUCCAGGACGGGUAAGGAUACCAUGUAACAAGUUCUAGGAGCAAACCGGCUCACUGGGAGAUGGAGGGCAAGGCUGCAGUAUAGGAAGGACCAUUACCAGCUGGCAAAAGAAAGCUCAAACUGCUGCAUCAGGGAGCUCCAGCCCGGGGGAGCUUCUAAAAGCUCUAGCCUGCAGAGGGGAAGCUGCUUCGAGACACUGAGUGCCGGCCAGACCAAUCUAUCCCUCUGGCCCUGCUGUGGGUCAUCGCCAUGUGCCUCAUCUGAGACUGUUUGGAUUUCCUACUGCUGCCUCACAGACGGGCUUCAGGCACAUUUUCUUUUUAAAUUUAGACAGACUUCAGUUUUCAUCAAAACCCUGCCGCUUUGAAACUGUGCUCUUGAGAAAAAGACUUUGUCCCUCCCCAGUGCCCCACGCCUCAACCCCACGAUGCUUAGCCAGUGGUUAAGAGCUAAUAUGGGCUCUGUUCAUCAUGUCACUGCCUGGCUUUGUUUAAAAUGGUGUGGAUUCUGAACAUUCUUUAAGUUCCUGACGUCAACCGUACACAUCAAAUUAAUACCGAAAUCCUCAUUUCGCUCUGGCCCAGAUUCUAGGCCCAGACCUAGUUAGCAGCCUUUCAGGAAGGCGAAUGGCUGCCAUGACCUAUGGAGAGUUUGGAUCUCAGAUGUCUUCUUGUUUGAGACAGGACAUCCCUUAGCUCGGGCUGGCCUACAACAAAUAUCUCUCGCCCCUGCCUCCUCAGAACUGGGAAUGAAGGUGUGUAUCCCUACUCCUGGUUAUUUGUUUUUUUAAUGUACACAUUAAGAUGUAUGUGCGUCAGUACCCACAUGACACCAUGAACAUGCUGGGCUAAAAGGACAACUCUGUGGAGACACUUCUCCCCUUUGGUCUGAAACUCAAGUCACCAGGCCUGGACCAUCAGAUGGCAAGACCACCUUUACCUCCUGAGUGAUCUGGCCAGCCUGCUUCUCAGACAGGCAGUCUUGAUAUUCUGCCUGCCACCUCCUCCAUGGGCCACCAGCAAGUAAAGACAGACAGCUGCAACUUGCCCUGUAAACCAGGCUUGCUGGAGAAGGGGCUGGGGCUCUAUCUAUAACCAAUCAUCUUAUACUUUCAUGGAAUCUUGGCAGCAGCCAAUGAGAACUUCAAAGGCUUGGCCUAGCUGUGGGAUGGGACAAUAAACAUGUUAAUCCCUUGUCUUAA